rnacentral:rRNA from 1 species
UACGAAGGGGGCUAGCGUUGUUCGGAAUUAGCGUGGGCGUAAAGCGGCACGUAGGCGGAUCGAAUCAGUCAGGGGUGAAAUCCCAGAGCUCAACUCUGGAACUGCCUUUGAUACUGUCGAUCUAGAGUAUGGAAGAGGUGAGUGGAACUCCUAGUGUAGAGGUGGAAUUCGUAGAUAUUGGGUGGAACACCGGUGGCGAA